rnacentral:lncRNA from 1 species
GUUAAAAAUUAGAAAACAAGAUCUACAGUUGUUUUGAGGUUAACUGGUUAAGCUCUGUGUGACUAGUGAAAUUGGUAUCCUAAUAUAUUUUUAUUAUAUUACAUUCCAAUUGAAAGUUCGAUCAAAUCAAAUGGUAAUAUUUGUAUCAGCUAUGCCCAGUGCCAAAUCCAAAAGCUGUCAACAACUUAUUACUUAUGGAUUCCAUCGGUCUUUUCUAUUGCUCAUUGAGAGAAGUAGCUCGUGAAAAUAAAAUUGCCAAUGAGGCUGACCUGCAGUCUUCAAGUCAUUUUCACUGAGUCUGUGAAGUGGCAUGAUUUUAUGCUGAGUGAUGAGCUCAUAAACUAAAAGUGCAAAGGAUGCUGGCUCUGAAGGAAUAUCAUUCUUGACCCAUUCAUCAUCUCGUGCAAGUUCCAGUGUGAAAAGUGCAGCAUAUUCUUCUCCAUUGUACUGCCAACGAUUAUCAACCACCAGCUCCGCAGUCUUCUUUUCACUUCUAUUCUGCCAGCCAACAAACAUAGAUGUGGACCUCAGAACCACUACUCCUUGGACUGCCAAACCUCCGUCUUCUUCCAAAAAUUGCCGGCCCUAUAAUUUUCCCAGUCUUCAGACAACAGACGUAGUAAAAAAAAGCUCCUUCUUCACCUCGCCCGUCAUCGUUUUGCCCGUCGCCGCCUCGCCUGUCAUCGUUUUCCCCGUCGCCGCCUCGCCCGUUGUUCCGUCUUCACCUCGUCCGUCGUCUCGUUGUCGCCCCGUCUUCCCCUCUCCGGUCACCUCGUCAUCGCCCCGUCAUCGUGGUAUCGUUGUAUUUUGUAAUGUGUGUUUUGUGUAGUGCUAAUUAACCCGUUGGCUGCCACCCACUUUGAUCCCCCUUUUUUUUUAGCGAGUUAGGGUCCGGCAGCGCUGUUCUGCCCAAUGGUCUAUAUGCCAUGGGUGGGACAGUUGCACAAGCCGUGUGGCUCAAAGUCGAUCGUCGAGGCAAUGCACCAUUAGGAACUUCCCCCUUGUCGAUGCGGUUAUGGUUGCCUGGGGUGUGCAUUCCCGUAAUGGCUUCCAUCAUCGUGUCAGCCCGGACUUGUCUUCGGACAAGUCCCCCUUGGUCGUGAUCAUUCUGAUGGCGAUGUAGCGAAUGUAGUUGGUAGUGGCGUGGCAGCCAACGGGUUAGUUGUAUAUGUGUAUGUGUUGUAUAUUUUGUUGUAUUGUAUUUUGUUGUGAAAUGUAAUUCUCAGUGGUGGAAUUGUGGGUGGAUGGAGGGACAAUAAAAUCAUUCACGUUUA